CGUCUAUAUACGUAUAGCAUAUCAAUAAGCGGAGGAAAAGAAACUAACUAGGAUUCCCUCAGUAACGGCGAGUGAAGCGGGAAGAGCUCAAAUUUGAAAUCUUCAAGGUUUUACCUUGACGAAUUGUAGUUUAAAGAAGUGUUUUCUGUUGGAGUUUUGGUAAAAGUUCUUUGGAAAAGGACAUCAUAGAGGGUGAGAAUCCCGUAUUUGACCAUUAUCUCCAGCUUUGUGAUACACUUUCAAAGAGUCGGAUUGUUUGGGAAUGCAGUCCAAAAUGGGUGGUAAAUUUCAUCUAAAGCUAAAUACUGGCGAGAGACCGAUAGCGAACAAGUACCGUGAGGGAAAGAUGAAAAGAACUUUGAAAAGAGAGUUAAACAGUACGUGAAAUUGUCAAAAGGGAAGCGUUUGACACCAGUGUUGUUUUUCCAAAAAUCAAUUACGAAUGGCUUGAUUUUGUGUUGUAUUGACCUUAUCAGCUUUCUUCACUUUUUUCGAGUCUUUCUUAAUGCACUUUUCGGUUAACAAGUCAACAUCAAUUUCUUUUGUUGUAAAAGAGUAUUCGGAAGGUGGCUUUCUUUUCGGAGAAAGUGUUUAUAGCCCUAUACUUCUACAAUCGGAGAGAUUGAGGUCUGCAGCGUAGAUCCUUCGGGGUUAGAUACACUUGUGCUAAGUUGUAGCUUUUCAUAGACAACUUGUUGACUAUGUUUAGUCAUUGUAGGCUUACUCGCUUGUGCUAUUUUACCUACGCUUAGGAUGUUGAAGUCAUCGUAUCGCGCGUGCUUGAUCUAUACAUGACUCUGUGCAUAUCAAUAAGCGGAGGAAAAGGAGUAUACCUACGCUUAGGAUGUUGAAGUCAUCGUAUCGCGC
rnacentral:rRNA from 1 species